GUGGCCACUUUGUCGUGUGUGUGUGUGUGUGUGUGUGUGUGUGUGUACAUAUAUAUAUAGACAUACAUACACAUACAUACACACAUACACACUGUGUGUA